ensembl:miRNA MIR17 microRNA 17
UCAUGUUAGAAUAAUGUCAAAGUGCUUACAGUGCAGGUAGUGAUUUAUAGAACCUACUGCAGUGAAGGCACUUGUAGCAUUAUGCUGGCAAG